rnacentral:rRNA from 1 species
UACGAAGGGGGCUAGCGUUGCUCGGAAUCACUGGGCGUAAAGCGCACGUAGGCGGACUCUUAAGUCGGUGGUGAAAUCCUGGAGCUCAACUCCAGAACUGCCUUUGAUACUGGCGAUCUUGAGUCCGGGAGAGGUGAGUGGAACUGCGAGUGUAGAGGUGAAAUUCGUAGAUAUUCGCAAGAACACCAGUGGCGAAGGCGGCUCACUGGCCCGGUACUGACGCUGAGGUGCGAAAGCGUGGGGAGCAAACAGG